rnacentral:rRNA from 1 species
GAGUUUGAUCAUGGCUCAGAACGAACGCUGGCGGCAGGCUUAACACAUGCAAGUCGAACGCAUCCUUCGGGAUGAGUGGCAGACGGGUGAGUAACACGUGGGAACGUACCUUUCAGUUCGGAAUAACCCAGGGAAACUUGGGCUAAUACCGUAUACGCCCUUUUGGGGAAAGAUUUAUCGGUAAAGGAUCGGCCCGCGUUAGAUUAGAUAGUUGGUGAGGUAACGGCUCACCAAGUCAACGAUCUUUAGCUGGUCUGAGAGGAUGAUCAGCCACAUUGGGACUGAGACACGGCCCAAACUCCUACGGGAGGCAGCAGUGGGGAAUAUUGGACAAUGGGCGCAAGCCUGAUCUAGCCAUGCCGCGUGUGUGAUGAAGGCCUUAGGGUCGUAAAGCACUUUCGCCAGGGAUGAUAAUGACAGUACCUGGUAAAGAAACCCCGGCUAACUCCGUGCCAGCAGCCGCGGUAAUACGGAGGGGGUUAGCGUUGUUCGGAAUUACUGGGCGUAAAGCGUACGUAGGCGGAUCAGAAAGUAUGGGGUGAAAUCCCGAGGCUCAACCUCGGAACUGCCUCAUAAACUCCUGGUCUUGAGUUCGAGAGAGGUGAGUGGAAUUCCAAGUGUAGAGGUGAAAUUCGUAGAUAUUUGGAGGAACACCAGUGGCGAAGGAGGCUCAAUAGCUCGAUACUGACGCUGAGGUAAGAAAGUGUGGGGAGCAAACAGGAUUAGAUACCCUGGUAGUCCACACCGUAAACGAUGAAUGCCAGACGUCGGGGGGCUUGCCCUUCGGUGUCACACCUAACGGAUUAAGCAUUCCGCCUGGGGAGUACGGUCGCAAGAUUAAAACUCAAAGGAAUUGACGGGGGCCCGCACAAGCGGUGGAGCAUGUGGUUUAAUUCGAAGCAACGCGCAGAACCUUACCAACCCUUGACAUACUCGUCGUCGCUCCAGAGAUGGGAGCCUUCCUUCGGGACCGAGUGACAGGUGCAGCAUGGCUGUCGUCAGCUCGUGUCGUGAGAUGUUGGGUUAAGUCCCGCAACGAGCGCAACCCACGCCCUUAGUUGCCAGCAGGUCAAGCUGGGCACUCUAGGGGAACCGCCGGUGAUAAGCCGGAGGAAGGUGUGGAUGACGUCAAGUCCUCAUGGCCCUGACGGGUUGGGGUACACACGUGCUACAAUGGCAGUGACAAUGGGUUAAUCCCAAAAAACUGUCUCAGUUCGGAUUGGGGUCUGCAACUCGACCCCAUGAAGUUGGAAUCGCUAGUAAUCGCGUAACAGCAUGACGCGGUGAAUACGUUCCCGGGCCUUGUACACACCGCCCGUCACACCAUGGGAGUUGGGUUUACCCGAAGACGGUGCGCCGACCUGGCAACAGGGGGCAGCCGGCCACGGUAAGUUCAGCGACUGGGGUGAAGUCGUAACAAGGUAACC